rnacentral:rRNA from 2 species
CUGAUGCGUUGUUGGGUAGGGGAGCGUUCUGUAAGCCUGCGAAGGUGGCCUGUGAGGGUUGCUGGAGGUAUCAGAAGUGCGAAUGCUGACAUAAGUAACGAUAAAGCGGGUGAAAAGCCCGCUCGCCGGAAGACCAAGGGUUCCUGUCCAACGUUAAUCGGGGCAGGGUGAGUCGACCCCUAAGGCGAGGCCGAAAGGCGUAGUCGAUGGGAAACGGGUUAAUAUUCCCGUACUUGGUGUUACUGCGAAGGGGGGACGGAGAAGGCUAUGUUGGCCGGGCGACGGUUGUCCCGGUUUAAGCGUGUAGGUGUGUGUUCCAGGUAAAUCCGGUUCACUUUAACACUGAGGCGUGAUGACGAGGCACUACGGUGCUGAAGCAACAAAUGCCCUGCUUCCAGGAAAAGCCUCUAAGCAUCAGGUAACAUCAAAUCGUACCCCAAACCGACACAGGUGGUCAGGUAGAGAAUACCAAGGCGCUUGAGAGAACUCGGGUGAAGGAACUAGGCAAAAUGGUGCCGUAACUUCGGGAGAAGGCACGCUGACACGUAGGUGAAGUGAUUUACUCAUGGAGCUGAAGUCAGUCGAAGAUACCAGCUGGCUGCAACUGUUUAUUAAAAACACAGCACUGUGCAAACACGAAAGUGGACGUAUACGGUGUGACGCCUGCCCGGUGCCGGAAGGUUAAUUGAUGGGGUCAGCGCAAGCGAAGCUCCUGAUCGAAGCCCCGGUAAACGGCGGCCGUAACUAUAACGGUCCUAAGGUAGCGAAAUUCCUUGUCGGGUAAGUUCCGACCUGCACGAAUGGCGUAAUGAUGGCCAGGCUGUCUCCACCCGAGACUCAGUGAAAUUGAACUCGCUGUGAAGAUGCAGUGUACCCGCGGCAAGACGGAAAGACCCCGUGAACCUUUACUAUAGCUUGACACUGAACAUUGAGCCUUGAUGUGUAGGAUAGGUGGGAGGCUUUGAAGUGUGGACGCCAGUCUGCAUGGAGCCGGCCUUGAAAUACCACCCUUUAAUGUUUGAUGUUCUAACGUGGACCCGUGAUCCGGGUUGCGGACAGUGUCUGGUGGGUAGUUUGACUGGGGCGGUCUCCUCCUAAAGAGUAACGGAGGAGCACGAAGGUUGGCUAAUCCUGGUCGGACAUCAGGAGGUUAGUGCAAUGGCAUAAGCCAGCUUGACUGCGAGCGUGACGGCGCGAGCAGGUGCGAAAGCAGGUCAUAGUGAUCCGGUGGUUCUGAAUGGAAGGGCCAUCGCUCAACGGAUAAAAGGUACUCCGGGGAUAACAGGCUGAUACCGCCCAAGAGUUCAUAUCGACGGCGGUGUUUGGCACCUCGAUGUCGGCUCAUCACAUCCUGGGGCUGAAGUAGGUCCCAAGGGUAUGGCUGUUCGCCAUUUAAAGUGGUACGCGAGCUGGGUUUAGAACGUCGUGAGACAGUUCGGUCCCUAUCUGCCGUGGGCGCUGGAGAACUGAGGGGGGCUGCUCCUAGUACGAGAGGACCGGAGUGGACGCAUCACUGGUGUUCGGGUUGUCAUGCCAAUGGCACUGCCCGGUAGCUAAAUGCGGAAGAGAUAAGUGCUGAAAGCAUCUAAGCACGAAACUUGCCCCGAGAUGAGUUCUCCCUGAGACUUAGAGUCUCCUGAAGGAACGUUGAAGACGACGACGUUGAUAGGCCGGGUGUGUAAGCGCAGCGAUGCGUUGAGCUAACCGGUACUAAUGAACCGUGAGGCUUAACCUUACAACGCCGAAG